rnacentral:rRNA from 1 species
CCUACGGGAGGCAGCAGUGGGGGAUAUUGCACAAUGGGGGGAACCCUGAUGCAGCGACGCCGCGUGGGUGAAGAAGCGCUUCGGCUCGUAAAGCCCUGUCAGCAGGGAAGAAAAUGACGGUACCUGAAUAAGAAGCCCCGGCUAACUACGUGCCAGCAGCCGCGGUAAUACGUAGGGGGCAAGCGUUAUCCGGAUUUACUGGGUGUAAAGGGGGCGCAGACGGCGAAGCAAGCCAGGAGUGAAAGCCCGGGGCCCAACCCCGGGACUGCUCUUGGAACUGCGUGGCUGGAGUGCAGGAGGGGCAGGCGGAAUUCCGGGUGUAGCGGGGAAAUGCGUAGAUAUCAGGAGGAACACCGGUGGCGAAGGCGGCCUACUGGACUGCAACUGACGUUGAGGCUCGAAAGCGUGGGGAGCAAACAGGAUUAGAUACCCGUGUAGUC